AAAAAACACUCUACUUUUGUUUUUGCUUUAAUUAUAUUCACUUAUUUUUUAACACUUAUUUUCACAAUUUUUUAAUCAUUUGGAGUGCUUAAAGACCAUGACUUCUACUCUGUACCGCAGGACCAGGGCUGAAGCUCAGAAGCUGGUUUCCCGUUUCCUUAAUCAGUAAACAGGCUGUGAGACAGGCCUUCAUUUUCCCAUUCCAUGUGUGUAAAGGUUGAUGCUCAGGGAUGAGUUCAUUGCCCAGAGUCACACAGCUGGUGAGCUGUUGAUCUCUGUUUGAUUUCUGGUCAAUCCAGUUUCAAAGACCAGCUCCUGACUGCUGCUGCCUCUCUAAUGAGAGGAGAGUUUUCAAACACGGUGUAGAUUCACCAACAAAGCACCCAAAAGUCAAGUGAAAAGUGAAGAUAAAGAUGGAAGAUAUAAAGGAAGGACACCCAGGAAUUGUUGCUAAUGUUCCAUUUCAUAUCCUGAGGGGUUGUUACAUCGAUGUUUCCAAUUAUUUGAUUUUCAAAUGUAUGUUGUACUUCAAAAAUUUUAAAGAUAGUAAAAAGGGUGUGUUUGUGUAGGAUAGAUUCUGUGAAGAUCUGAUUAUAAGUUGAGAAGAGAUAAAGGAAUCAAAGGAUCAAAAACAUAAUAAGAUCAAAGUGUUAAAAGAAAAAUCCUGAGUUAUAAGGGUUUAGAACUUUGAUACUUGAGAGGAUUAGGGAAACAUUUGUUUCUCAUCUGCAGUUAAUUUCUUCACUUGUGGGGCAUAAGUAACAUUCUCCAGGAGCUGAAUUACGUUCUUUCAGAACAUAUCUUUCUCCUUCUCAACUUCUGCCUGUGUUAGCCUGGCAUUUCCAUAGCUGUAAUACUGCUUGUUUUCUCCCAGUUUGCUUCUUCCUUAGUUUUUUCUCAAUGCUCCAUAAGGGGAUGUGUUCUUGCUCCUUCUGAGAACAAAUGCCCCUCCAGCUCCUGGAGGCUGAGGAGAGAGAGACUCAGCACAGCCAGCGACAGUCAUGGGAUCCUCCUGAUGGAUCCUGAUCAAAGAUGCGGCUCAGAGAGCGGAAUGCUGAGAACCACAGGCAGAGUCAGUGCUCGGACAGGACCAAGCCUUCUGUUCACCACAAAUAGAGAGCACUUCAUUGUCCAUUUUCAGGCCACCCCACAUGGAAGCAAGUUGUGCCUCCCCAGACAGGUUUCUGGGUUGUUUGAUGUA